rnacentral:rRNA from 1 species
CCUACGGGGGGCUGCAGUGAGGAAUAUUGGUCAAUGGCCGAGAGGCUGAACCAGCCAAGUCGCGUGAGGGAAGACGGCCCUACGGGUUGUAAACCUCUUUUGUCGGGGAGCAAAGCGAACCACGUGUGGUUCAUUGAGCGUACCCGAAGAAAAAGCACCGGCUAACUCCGUGCCAGCAGCCGCGGUAAUACGGAGGAUGCGAGUGUUAUCCGGAUUUAUUGGGGUUAAAGGGUGCGCGGGCGGGCUGUUCAGUCAGCGGUCAAAGCCCGGGGCUCAACCCCGGCCCGCCGUUGAAACUGGCAGUCUCGAGUUGGAGAGAAGUAUGCGGAAUGCGCGGUGUAGCGGUGAAAUGCAUAGAUAUCGCGCAGAACUCCGAUUGCGAAGGCAGCAUGCCGGCUCCACACUGACGCUGAGGCACGAAAGCGUGGGUAUCGAACAGGAUUAGAUACCCCAGUAGUC